rnacentral:tRNA from 1 species
UCCUUCGUAGCUCAGUUGGCUAGAGCGUCUGACGUACGUUCCAAGCGACCCUGCGAAAUUCGGCAAAUCUAACAUCGUAACAGUGUUAGCGAGCAAGUCUCGGCUUCCAUCAGGAGGUCAGUGGUUCGAGACCACUCGAAGGAG